GUGAGUAAAGCUCAGUGGUAGAGCACAUGCUCAGCAUGCAUGAAGUCCUAGGUUCAAUCCCCAGUACCUCCA
rnacentral:tRNA from 1 species